rnacentral:rRNA from 1 species
UACGGAGGGUGCAAGCGUUAUCCGGAUUCACUGGGUUUAAAGGGUGCGUAGGUGGGUUGGUAAGUCAGUGGUGAAAUCCCCGAGCUUAACUUGGGAACUGCCGUUGAUACUAUCUGUCUUGAAUACCGUGGAGGUGAGCGGAAUAUGUCAUGUAGCGGUGAAAUGCUUAGAUAUGACAUAGAACACCAAUUGCGAAGGCAGCUCGCUACACGAAUAUUGACUCUGAGGCACGAAAGCGUGGGGAUCAAACAGG